rnacentral:rRNA from 1 species
UACGAAGGGGGCUAGCGUUGCUCGGAAUCACUGGGCGUAAAGGGUGCGUAGGCGGGUCUUUAAGUCAGGGGUGAAAUCCUGGAGCUCAACUCCAGAACUGCCUUUGAUACUGAAGAUCUUGAGUUCGGGAGAGGUGAGUGGAACUGCGAGUGUAGAGGUGAAAUUCGUAGAUAUUCGCAAGAACACCAGUGGCGAAGGCGGCUCACUGGCCCGAGUACUGACGCUGAGGCACGAAAGCGUGGGGAGCAACAGGAUAG